UACGGAGGGUGCGAGCGUUGUCCGGAAUCACUGGGCGUAAAGGGCGCGUAGGCGGAUCCUUAAGUCAGGGGUGAAAUGCCGAGGCUCAACCUCGGAACUGCGUCUGAUACUGGAUGGCUUGAGUUCGGGAGAGGGAUGCGGAAUUCCAGGUGUAGCGGUGAAAUGCGUAGAUAUCUGGAGGAACACCGGUGGCGAAGGCGGCAUCCUGGACCGACACUGACGCUGAGGAGCGAAAGCCAGGGGAGCAAACGGG
rnacentral:rRNA from 1 species